UACGGGGGGGUAAGCGUUGUUCGGAAUUACUGGGCGUAAAGGGCGCGUAGGCGGCUUGCCAAGUCAGGGGUGAAAUCUCUCGGCUCAACCGGGAAACGGCUUCUGAUACUGGCGGGCUGGAGGGAGGUAGGGGCGGAUGGAACUUCCGGUGGAGCGGUGAAAUGCGUAGAUAUCGGAAGGAACGCCGGUGGCGAAAGCGAUCCGCUGGACCUCUUCUGACGCUGAGGCGCGAAAGCCAGGGGAGCAAACGGG
rnacentral:rRNA from 1 species